rnacentral:rRNA from 1 species
AGCAGCCGCGGUAAUUCCAGCUCCAAUAGCGUAUAUUAAAGUUGUUGCAGUUAAAAAGCUCGUAGUUGAAUUUCGAGAUCAAAUUGUUGGUCGUGCCUCGGUACGUACUGGCAUUAUUGAUUUCUCCCUUCUGAAGAACCUUGAUGUCAUUAAUUUGGUGUCUUGGGGAAUCAGGACCGUUACUUUGAAAAAUUAGAGUGUUUAAAGCAGGCUCACGCUUGAAUACAUUAGCAUGGAAUAAUGAAAUAGGACGUUUGAUUCUAUUUUGUUGGUUUCUAGGAUCGACGUAAUGAUUAAUAGGGAUAGUUGGGGGCAUUAGUAUUCAAUUGUCAGAGGUGAAAUUCUUGGAUUUAUUGAAGACUAACUACUGCGAAAGCAUUUGCCAAGGAUGUUUUCAUUAAUCAAGAACGAAAGUUAGGGGAUCGAAGACGAUCAGAUACCGUCGUAGUCUUAACCAUAAACUAUGCCGACUAGGGAUCGGAUGAUGUUAAUUUUUUAAUGACUCAUUCGGCGCCUUAAC